GACUACACACUACUGUGUGCCCUGUGUUGUGUCUAGCGAAAAUGAAAAGAUUGUACAAAAUUUAUGUAUGUCAAUGAAGUCAAAAUAAAGAAGCACUCAAAAUAGUGAAAUUAAAUGGUGCUACAAACUACUGAGAGACAUCCAUAGUUCACCUCAGACAUCUCCUGAUGAGUGAUGGCAUCCACUAUGUCGUCAAAUACGAUGGCUGUAACCAGCAACAUCAGCGAAGACAGGCAGAGAACCACGAGAGACACCAGCCGCUUCUUUCUGGAACCUUUCACGCAUGGCGACAUCUUCUUCGCUGGCCUUAUCGCAUACCUACCAUUUUUUGUAGUUUUGUCGAUACGCUUGGGGCGUAUAAAUGGAACACUGCUUUGAAAACUAAAAACGAAAAAAAAAUGUUCAUGUACAUUUAUAAACUUCAAAUCGGAUGUUCUGGCCUUAAGCCAAAUAUAAAUAAAUAAAUAGUUUUUAAAAAACGCUAAUAUUAAAACGCACUAAAAAAGUACAAAAUAAUUUUGGAAGGAAACAAAGUUACCAAUAUAGUUUGUGUGUAAACACAAACUCAGAAUAGGCACCAGAAAUGGUCCACUCAGGCAAGUAAAAAGGCGGGUUUCAAUAUUUACAGCCAGAAUAUCAGAAGCUAUAAACUGCUAAAUCUCAAUAACCACAACCCUAUCUCAAUAACCACAACCCUAUUUCCGGCAAUACAAAAAGAAGAGACGUGCAAUGUUAGGCCAACUGACAACAUGAUACCACAAUAUAAGGAGAUAUAUUUGUGUUAUUUUUAUUACACUUUUAACAUUCCUAGGUUCUCGAUGAACUGAUUGGUAUAUAGAUAUGGUACAAUCAUAUGUAAACCUGGCCUAACUGAUGUGAUUGAAUGAUUAUCUAAUAGACGGUUUCCUAAAGGGCCAAUCUCUCAUUCAAGGCCUAAAAAAAACCUUUUCCCUCUGGUUACAUCUCUAUACUGAUUGUGUUAUAGGUACAUAGCAAUAUCUAUAUGUAUUAUGCGGUGUAUAUGAUAAUAUAAAAUACUGCUUGUGAAAUGUUUUAAAUUCUGUUCGCGUUAUAUACAUACUAAAUGUAUUCUUUCUCUUUAAAAACAAAAGUGUACAUAUUAUUUUAAAUAAAUGUUUUACCAAGUGUAACAGAAAAUGUUAAAUUUUGUACUACAAACGAUUUUUUAGAAAGUUUUUUUUAUAUAAAAUAACAAAAACGUUUGCUUAAUUUUUUUUAAAUAAACAGGAAAAUUUUCUCCCUAA